UUGCUUCUAAGCUUGUGAGGCUGGGUCCAGAGAAGUCUCUGUCUCAGGGUUAAUUUAGCCCAACUAGGAAGGCACUACCUUUGAGGACUCUACCCAAUGGCCUGUGUAUUAUGAGGUCUCUCUAUUAUGACUGAUGGGAAAGUGAACAUUUCCUAGCCCUGUGUAAACUCCAAGAAUUGUUCACCUUACCUAUUUCAGGCUCCCCCCUUCCCCCAGCCCCGUGGUUUCACCCCAUACACGCACAGGUCAGUAUUAGGCAAAGAUUGGAUGGGGCCCUUCUGUAGAGCUCCAGAGUGUUCUCACUGUGCAUCUUCCUCAUUUCGAGUACUUUGCCCUGGUCUCCCUGAAGCCUGAUCUCCAUCACCUCACUCAUGAGACUGCUGUACCGGGUUGGGUUUCCCCUUUCCUGCCCUGCAGCCUGGAAACUGCCUCCAGGCAGUAACUAGGGUGAUCCUAGGGAGGGCCCAUACCAAGUGUUUCCCACUGUCAGAGAUUGCGGUCCUGCUUUGCUUUUGUCCAAUGUCUGCAAACAGUUGUUUUACGUAUUUUGUCUGAUUUUCUAGUUGCAUAUGUCAAAGGGGUAAUUCUGUUGCAGUUAAUCCUUCAGGAGCAGAAUCAGAAAUCAACAUUUUUUUCAGCAGGGACGGUUAUAACAAACAACAUGCUGAGUGGCUGAGAUAAAAAGAACUAUCUCCGAAUCUUCGCUUGAAAACAUCUCACUGAGUUUUUUUGUUUGUUUGUUUAAAAUGGUUAGAGCAUUUGUGUUCAAGUUCUAGGUACAGAUGAGAUAGGAAUAAAAAAGUACCCUAAAAGUA